rnacentral:rRNA from 1 species
CCUACGGGAGGCAGCAGUGAGGAAUAUUGGUCAAUGGGCGCAAGCCUGAACCAGCCAAGUCGCGUGAGGGAAGACGGCCCUAAGGGUUGUAAACCUCUUUUGCCGGGGAGCAAGCCUGAGCACGUGUGCCCAGGCGGAGAGUACCCGAGGAAAAAGCAUCGGCUAACUCCGUGCAAGCAGCCGCGGUAAUACGGAAGAUGCGAGCGUUAUCCGGAUUUAUUGGGGUUAAAGGGUGCGCAGGCGGGCUGUUAAGCCGGCGGUAAAAAUUGAGGGCUCAACCCUGUCGAGCCGGCGGAACUGGCAGCCUUGAGUGGGCGAGAAGUAUGCGGAAUGCGUGGGGUCGCGGUGAAAUGCAGAGAUAUCACGCAGAACGCCGAUUGCGAAGGCAGCAUACCGGCGCCCGACUGACGCUGAGGCACGAAAGCGUGGGGAUCGAACAGGAUUAGAUACCCGUGUAGUC